rnacentral:rRNA from 1 species
GACAGAGGUGGCGAGCGUUGUUCGGAUUUAUUGGGCGUAAAGGGCGCGUAGGCGGUCACGCACGUCCGUUGUGAAAUCGCUCGGCUCAACUGGGCGGGGUCAGCGGAUACGGCGUGGCUGGAGCAAGCUAGGGGGCAAUGGAAUUCCCGGUGUAGUGGUGGAAUGCGUAGAUAUCGGGAGGAACACCAGUGGCGAAGGCGGUUGCCUGGAGCUUUGCUGACGCUGAUGCGCGAAAGCGUGGGGAGCGAUCCGG